rnacentral:rRNA from 1 species
UGGGGAAUUUUGGACAAUGGGCGCAAGCCUGAUCCAGCCAUGCCGCGUGAGUGAAGAAGGCCUUCGGGUUGUAAAGCUCUUUCGGUUGGGAAGAAAUUGCUUCGGAUAAUACCCGGAGUAGAUGACGGUACCAGCAUAAGAAGCACCGGCUAACUACGUGCCAGCAGCCGCGGUAAUACGUAGGGUGCGAGCGUUAAUCGGAAUUACUGGGCGUAAAGCGUGCGCAGGCGGUUUUGUAAGUCAGAUGUGAAAGCCCCGGGCUCAACCUGGGAACUGCAUUUGAGACUGCAAGGCUAGAGUGUGGCAGAGGGGGGUGGAAUUCCACGUGUAGCAGUGAAAUGCGUAGAGAUGUGGAGGAACACCGAUGGCGAAGGCAGCCCCCUGGGCCAAUACUGACGCUCAUGCACGAAAGCGUGGGGAGCAAACA